UUGUGUAUUUAGAUAACCGUAUUGCUUUUUAUUAUUUCUGUAGAUCAAUUUUGAAAUCAGAGUAUUGAGCAGUUUCUUUUUUAGACAGGAACUGUUUUUCAAUAAAAAUUGGCUAUUCAUGGAUGAAUUUCUGAAAUUGAUCUUUAAUAUGGGAAUACAUAUAUAUUUUUAGUGUUUAGGGAUGUGAAUAGAAAUGUUUCAGGAUGUCAUUCAAUCCGGAGGUCAAGUCGCUGUUUCAAAUGCCAUUUAUGUCCAUAUGUGUCUUAUGUCAGUUCUUGGUACUUGAGACGACAUAUGUUAUGCCAUACCCAGGAUAGACCUUUUGUGUGUGAUAUUUGUCAUAAAUCAUUCAAUCAAAAAGGAAACUUAAAAGUGCACAGAUUAACUCAUAUCCUUGGGAAAAGAUUCCAUAGAUCAUAAUUUUGGUAUCACGAAUUAAGAAUUGGUUUACAUUGUAAUUUCAAAUUUAUUUAGUUACUUUCCAUGGUUUGUUUUAAAUUAUACGUAUAUAGAUUUAUCUUUAUAAAGAAGAAAUGAAAUAAAACUGGAAUUGUAUUUAUCUCUGAACAUGGUGCAAUACUAAAAUGGAAAGGGGGAAAAAAAAGUGAAAAUCGAAGUAGUAUUUUUCAACAUCUGCCAAGUUUUAAAGUUUUUGCCCUACAGUGGAAAAAGAGAUAACCAGAUGCACAAGGAACUUGUAUAUUUAUGUAUUUAUAUAUUGGCAUCUGCGGUAAAUGUCUCAACAAGUAAAAAUACUACUAAAUCAUGAUAAGCAACAUUGCUAAUUAACUCUAAUGUAGCUUGUAUAAAAAUAUUAUGCUGGUUAAUUACUUAUGAAGCAUCUUAAUAAGCAUUGAAGAAGGAAGUGCUAAGCACAACUUGCCACUGAAUGCAUUGGAUGAAGCUGCAGCUUUAUUUAGGAGAAUGUUUCCUGAUGGCGAAAUUGCUAAGAAAUGCAAGAGCCGAAAUGACUGCAAUUAUUAAAGAAAUGGGUUAUUAUCAUGUGGAAAGAGAUUGUUUAUCAAGGAAAUAUCAUUGUGCUUUAUGUUCUUACACAACAAAUAAAAUUUCAAAUUACAAAAGUCAUGAACUAGCUCAUACUCAAGAACGCUCAUUUGUUUGCAAUAUUUGUUUGAAGCGAUUUAAUCAUAGGUCUAAUUUGAAAGCUCACUCUAGAAUACAUACUGGGGAAAAGCCAUAUUGUUGUGAUUUGUGCCAUCGGACAUUUACAUUUUGUUCAAGUUUUCGGAAGCAUAUGUUUAGGUGCCCUGGUUUGGUUGACUAAGUGGUGUUUAUUUUCCAGGGAUCUAUUCUUAUUAAUGGCUUAAGUUUUUGUCCAUGGAUGUACUAGUUAAACAUUUUAUUAAUACAGAAUCUAGUACUCAACCGUUUCUUAUAGUUAGAAAGAUAUAUUGUGAUUUGUUCUAUCGAAUAUUUAAACUCUAUCUGUUGUUAAAAGAACAAAAUGUUGCUUUUUGUGCUGUUUGCUCUAAAUAAUUAUAAAAUAAUAAAAACAUUACUAUAAAAAUUGUAGUAAUAUUGGGUUUUAACGAAAGUUUUCCGGCACCACAAAACAGUUCGCGUUGGCAUGUUUAAUCAUAUUUUGUCAAACGAUUUUUGGUAUUUGAAAGAAAGAGAUUUGUGUUAGAACAUUUUGUAAAAUUUGUUAAAAAAAAAGAUGAAGAAGUAUCGUUAUCACUGAGUACAAAGUGACUGAAAUGGAGCUAUCAUGCUACCAGAUUAGAACCAUCAUUUACUUCCAGUUCUGUAAGAAAAAAAGAUGGGGUAGAAUCUGUUCUGGUCUGUUUUUGGCAGAAUGCCACCAAAUCAUGUGUACAAUUUUAGGUACUAAUGUUGUAUCAUAUGACACUGAAAAUCUGAUGUCAAAAGUUCAAAAGCAAGGACUAUGAAGAAACAGAGCACUCUGGCCAGCCUACUGAUGUUGAUAAGGCCCACUUGCAAGAACUUGUGGAAGAUGAGUAUGUAACCACUCAAUAGCUUGCUAAGAAGAUAGACAUUAAUGCAAUGUCCAUUAGUUGUGCUAUGCAUCACAAAAAAAGUUCAAUUGCUGGGUGCCACAUAAGCCUACUGAAGCAGAUAAAGACAGUUGUGUUCGGGCCUGCACUGAUCUGCUCGAGUAUCAGUGCAGAGACAAAAUUAUGUAUCAGAUUGUCAGUUGUGAUGAAAAGUGGGUUUAUGUCAACAACACAGGCCGAAAAGGAGUUUCGUCUGUCCCAGUGAGCCCACCACAAAAUGCAGUUUGACUAACAAAAAGAUGAUGCUUUGUAUCUGGUGUGAUUUCUGUGGUAUUAUCCACAAAGAAUAUAUGGUGAAAGAUGAAACCCUCAAUAGUAAGGUGUACAGAGAAAUGCUAGUCCGUGUUGAUGCUGCUAUCAAGGAAAAACUUUGAAUUGAGUUCUGGUACAAAAAGGUAAUGUUCCAUCAAGAUUAUGCAAGACCACAUGCAUCUGCAUUCAUCGUCUGCACUCUAUACACACUCAAAUGGGAUCUUUUGCCAAACCCACCUUAUAGCCCUGACAUCGUUGCUUCAGACUCCUAUCUUUUUUCACACCUGCAACUACAUCUUGUUGGUGCUAUCUUCCAUUCCGCACAGGACAUCCGGAAUAAGGUUGAUAUGUUUUUGGACUCGGAGCCAGCCACCAAAUAUCUGGACUGAAGGCUUUGAAAGUUAUCAAAACAAUGGCAAAGAAUCAUAGACUUGGGUGGUGAUUACUGCCUGCAC